GAGGAUGUAGCUCAGUGGUAGAACAUGUGCUUAGCAUGCACCAGGUUCUGGGUUCAAUCCCCAGCACCUCCA
rnacentral:tRNA from 1 species